rnacentral:siRNA from 1 species
AACGUUUUGCCGUUCCAUUGUACA